UUUGCGAUCGCAUACAAGAGUGAGCCAUCUUUUGACGAUGGUAGGAUAAUUAUUGACCUGAGGAAUAAUAUGGAUUUAUGUGGUUGUGAGAAUAGACGUUGUGUUUGUGAUUGUGAAAAUGUGAGUGUGUGUCUGUGUGUGCGCGCGCGCUUUCCUGAACCAGGGAUCCCACUUGACAAGUUGACCUUGUCUAGAGGAGCAUUAGUGGAAAAAAACUGUGUAGCCCUGAGACAAUAGGAUGCCAUUACGACCAAUGAGAACGGCCUGCAGGGGGCGCAAGGAUUCACUUCUCUCUUGGACACUGACGGGUCUCGACACGCAAAUUCUGCUCCUGGCGUUGGCCGUCAGUGGAAGAGCGUAGCUUAGGUGGGGUUCUGUCUGCCUCUGAUGGGGUGCGGAUGUGUGGUUCGUCACUGGUGAAUGGUGUUCGACGAUGCAGGUGGAUUUUGUGACGAGCGGAUUUACAAUGAGGGAAUGCUGUGAACGGGAAAAAUGAUGCCUCUCGCAGGUGGCGGUAGGAGCGCGCAGAGGGCGCUACGAGCGCGCGCAUGCGUAGCACCCGUAGAGUGGCGCUUACGUCAGUCCACCUCUGGCUCUCGUUGGGAAAAGACGUGCGGUCGUUCGCUCCGUCGUCACUUGAUCCCUGGCUGUCGACGAGAGCAGUCGCAUCGGUCUGCGCUCCUGCUGUGGUGAGGUGAUUUGUUGCGUAACUAAUGCUUUCGUCAACUUUGUUCCCGCUUUGUUUGCGAUUUUCGUGCCAGUGCUGGUUGCUGUUGUCCGGGCAUUCCCGCCAUUUUCUAUCAUCUUCUGCCUUGGGACCGGGAGUAGCGCUGGCGUGAUUCUUAAUAAUUUUGUUGUGAGAUUAGUUGAGAAAGUAACCGCUAGGGGGUGCAGCUGCGGGGCUUUAUACAGGACAAAAAAGCAUUACGAGUCAGUUUCUGCCUGCCUCUCGGAUGGAGCAGUCGCAUGGUUCUGCGCUCCUGUUCUGGUGGGCUCAUUUGUUGUGUAACUAAUUGUUUUUUCUUGUUAGCUAAUGAUGGUUUGCAUACUCUUGCUUUCCCAGCCUCUGUAUUACGAGUGUUUUUCUCCUUGCAUGUCCAGAGCUGUCCUAACUUGCCCAGACAUGCCAUGAUGACGUCACAGCUGACGUCACAGGAUGUCCGGAACUUGUGGUCAUAGCUGGGAUGCUUUGCAACCUGCCUCUGUGCUCCGUCGCCCGGCGAUGGUCAGCGGCCUUUCCGGGCCGCUUCCUUCAAGAUGGCGUCGUUGAUCUUCAACUAAACUCCUUCUCUCCACUCUAUCUCUAUCUAUUUUUUUAUUUUUUAUGACCACGUUUAUCCGGAAACGCACAGGGUGGUCUGGACACUAGUUAGACGCUCCCCAAUUAGUGUGAUGACUCAUUGGAUGAUGCUGAUUAAUGUGGGGGGUCCCAAUUAGCUCUAAUUGCUAAUUAAUGGCGUCCAGAAGCCUUGUAGCGUUUCCGGAUAAGCGUGGUCAGUACUUACUACUAA